GACGAACGCUGGCGGCGUGCCUAAUACAUGCAAGUAGAACGCUGAAGAGAGGAGCUUGCUCUUCUUGGAAGAGUUGCGAACGGGUGAGUAACGCGUAGGUAACCUGCCUUGUAGCGGGGGAUAACUAUUGGAAACGAUAGCUAAUACCGCAUAACAAUGGGUGACCCAUGUCAUUCAUUUGAAAGGGGCAACUGCUCCACUACAAGAUGGACCUGCGUUGUAUUAGCUAGUAGGUGAGGUAACGGCUCACCCAGGCGACGAUACAUGGCCGACCUGAGAGGGUGAUCGGCCACACUGGGACUGAGACACGGCCCAGACUCCUACGGGAGGCAGCAGUAGGGAAUCUUCGGCAAUGGGGGCAACCCUGACCGAGCAACGCCGCGUGAGUGAAGAAGGUUUUCGGAUCGUAAAGCUCUGUUGUAAGUCAAGAACGAGUGUGAGAGUGGAAAGUUCACACUGUGACGGUAGCUUACCAGAAAGGGACGGCUAACUACGUGCCAGCAGCCGCGGUAAUACGUAGGUCCCGAGCGUUGUCCGGAUUUAUUGGGCGUAAAGCGAGCGCAGGCGGUUUGAUAAGUCUGAAGUUAAAGGCUGUGGCUCAACCAUAGUUCGCUUUGGAAACUGUCAAACUUGAGUGCAGAAGGGGAGAGUGGAAUUCCAUGUGUAGCGGUGAAAUGCGUAGAUAUAUGGAGGAACACCGGUGGCGAAAGCGGCUCUCUGGUCUGUAACUGACGCUGAGGCUCGAAAGCGUGGGGAGCGAACAGG
rnacentral:rRNA from 1 species